AAGGCCUUAGUUUAACAAAGACAUUUGAUUUGCACUCAGAAGAUGCAAGAUAAACUCUUGUAGGUCUUA
rnacentral:tRNA from 4 species